UAAAAUUGGUUUAUGUGUUUAGGGUUCCCGAACUUGGAAGGGUUACUUAAUAAUAAAUUUUAUUGUAGAAUAAAUAUUUAUAAUUGUUAGGUAGAAGCGAGAUGUUAUACGUUUCCAAAUAUAUCUGGUUUUUCCAGAAAUGAAUUUAAUUCAGCUAGGUUUGUUUUAUUGGCUAAAUUUGAAGUUAGUAGGAUUGGCCUAGAGUAAUAUGCUAAGGGAUGAGCUUUGGUAUAAAUUUCUAUAAAUUUAUGUUGGUAAUAAAAUGGGUAGGAUUAGAAGUUUUCACUCUUAGGAAGAUGUUAUAGUCAAUUUUAGUGUAAUUUUUAUUUUUAUAAUUUUUAGGGAGUUUAUGGGAAUGAAGAUUUGAACAGAUAUAAUUAAGUAAUAAUGGUAGAAUUAGUAUAAUAAUAUUUAAGAAUGAGUAUUUGGAUUUAGGUUAGUAAAAGGAAUUCGGCAAAUAGUUUUUCACCUGUUUAUUAAAAACAUGGCCUUUUGAUAAUUAUUUAAGGUCUGGCCUGCCCACUGAGCUUUGAAUGGCCGCGGUACUCU
rnacentral:rRNA from 1 species